GAUAAUUUAAAAUAGCAAAAAUAAAACUACCAGGGAAUGUGGAUUUUACGAAUAUUGGAAGACUCUCUAUUCAAUAAUUACCUACUAAGAAAUAAUUUAUGUUUGACCUAGGUAUCAUCCCCAUUGCCCAUAUUUUAAUGCUAUC